UGGCGGUGCGUCUUAGACAUGCAAGUCGAGCGAGAAAGCCCGCAAGGGUGAGUAAAGCGGCGAACGGGUGAGUAAUACUUGGGUAACGUGCCUCCGAGAUCGGGACAACAUGCCGAAAGGCGUGCUAAUACCGGAUAAGACCACAGCGGCUGCGGCCGCAGAGGUCAAAGAUGGCGCAAGCUAUCACUUGGAGAUCGGCUCAAGCACCAUUAGCUAGUUGGCGGGGUAACAGCCCACCAAGGCUACGAUGGUUGGUCGACCUGAGAGGUACGGCCCAUGACUGGAUUCGUCAAUCCUACGGAGCAGCAGUGGAAUAUCCCAAUGGGCGAAGCUGAUGGAGCGACACGGCUGAGAUGAGGUCUCGAUGUAAACUCCUUUAGGGCUAGAUGAGUCUGGGUGAAUAAUCCCGGAACUUGACAGUAUAGGCAGAAUAAGCCACGGCUAACUCUGUGCCGGCAGCGCGGUAAUACAGAGGUGGCUAACGUUGUCCGGAAUUACUGGGUGUAAAGGGUCCGCAGGCUGUCCUGUAAGUCAAAGGUGAAAUGAUACGGCUUAACCGUGUCACUGCCUUUGAUACUGCAGGACUUGAGUACGGAAGAGGAGAGUGGAAUUCCCUGUGUAGCGGUGAAAUGCGUAGAUAUAGGGAAGAACACCGGUGGCGAAGGCGGCUCUCUGGUCCGAUACUGACGCUCAGGGACGAAAGCCAGGGGAGCAAACGGGAUUAGAUACCCCGGUAGUCCUGGCCGUAAACGAUGAGAACUAGGUGUUAGGGGUAUCCACUCCUCUAGUGCCGCAGCUAACGCAUUAAGUUCUCCACCUGGGGACUACGGCCGCAAGGCUGAAACUCAAAGAAAUUGACGGGGGCCCGCACAAGCAGUGGAGCAUGUGGUUCAAUUCGACGCAACGCGAAGAACCUUACCUGGGUUUGACAUCCGCUGACCGACUAUGAAAGUAGUCCUUCCCGCAAGGGACAGCGAGACAGUGCUGCAUGCUGUCGUCAGCUCGUGUCGUGAGAUGUUGGUUUAGGUCCCGCAACGAGCGCAACCUUGUCUUUAGUUGCCAUCGGUCAAGGCUGGCACUCUAGAGAGACUGCCGGUGACAAACGUAGGAGGUUGGGGAUGACGUCAGUCCUCAUGCCUUAUGUCCAGGGCUACACAUGUGCUACAAUGGCGGAUACAAAGGGUUGCGAACCCGCGAGGGGGAGCUAAUCCCAAAAAGUCCGUCCCAGUUCGGAUUGGAGUCUGCAAUUCGACUCCAUGAAGCCGGAAUUGCUAGUAAUCGCGGAUCAGAACGCCGCGGUGAAUACGUUCCCGGGCCUUGUACACACCGCCCGUCAAGUCACGAAAGCCAGUUGCACCAGAAGCGAUUGGGCUAACCCGCAAGGGAGGCAGGUCGCUAAGGUAUGAUUGGUGAUUGGGACUAAGUCGUAACAAGGUAACC
rnacentral:rRNA from 1 species